GUAGGACAUUUUUGUUGUUCUUAUUUCUUUUUCUUAUCACAAAAGGAAUACUCAUUUAAUGAAGAAAACUUGAAAAGUGCAUAUAAAAGAGACACAACUUACUUUUUUUUUUUUUUUUUAAACGGAGUUUCACUCUUGCUACCCAGGCUGGAGUGCAAUGGAGCGAUCUUGGCUCACCGCAACCUCUGCCUCCCAGGUUCAAGCAAUUCUCCUGCCUCAGCCUCCCUAGCAGCUGGGAUUACAGGCACGCACCACCAUGCCUGGAUAAUUUUGUAUUUUUAGUAGAGACAGGGUUUCUCCAUGUUGGUCAGGCUGGUCUCGAAAUCCCGACCUCAGAUGAUCUGCCUGUCUCGGCCUCGCAAAGUGCUGGGAUUACAGGCGUGAGCCACUGCGCCUGGCCCACAACUUACUUUUAACUCUUACUACCUGUGCUGGUCACUGCUCACGUGUUGUGUGUGUGUUUUUUGUUUUGUUUUGUUUUUGUUUGAGACGGAGUCUCACUCUGUCCCUCAGGCUGGAGUGCAGUGGUGCGAUCUCGGCUCACUGCAAGCUCUGCCUCACGGGUUCACGCCAUUCUCCUGCCUCAGCCUACCGAGUAGCUGGGACUACAGGCGCCCGCCACCAUGCCCGGCUAAUUUUUUUUUUGUAUUUUUAGUAGAGACGGGGUUUCGCCGUGUUAGCCAGGACGGUCUCGAUCUCCUGACCUUGUGAUCUGCCCACCUCGGCCUCCCAAAGUGCUGGGAUGACAGGCGUGAGCCACCGCGCCUGGCCACUGCUCACAUUUUGAGCCCUAGUUGCCUUGGAAGUCAAGAUCUUUUAGAAGCCACCUGCAUCAACUUUUCACCACUGUCCUAAAUCAGAAACUUCGUGGUCACUUCCCCACUCCUCACCUGCUGCCUCCAAGGAUCUCCUCAGGAAUAAAUUACUUGCAUUUAAAUCCUUGUCUCAGAGUUGGCUUCUGGAGGAACUCAGAUGAAGAUGGCAGACUUAUCACUUUUCCUUUUGUCUAACUAAAAGGCUUCAAAUAGAAAUCAAUUAUUCAACUGAUUAUGAAUCCAAAAAUUUCUGGCAUAUUUGAAAGAGCAGAUCAUCCCGACUUUUAGUCCUCAAGAUAUCAAAAAUAUUGCAUCUCCAUCUAGCACCUCCCCCCCCAUUACACACCUGCUUUGUGCUAGGCACUUUACAUGUGCAACAGGAUGAUGUUAGGGGUGCUCUGAGUCUCUUGGCCUAAGUUCAAAGGUCAUUCAGCAGUUGGGGUCAGCCACCUUCCUUCACGGCUCGCUGUGGAGCCAUUUCAGCAGAAUGGCAGCCCAUCCUUAUGCCCAUUCUACCGUGGGCGUCAAGGAGAAGGGGAAAGAGAGCACGUCUUGCUUCUCCUGCUCCCCCUACCCAUUGUCCCAGCUCCAAGCCACUAGAAUCAUGAGUCUGGCUUGAACUGGGUGACAUGGGGCCAGGGGAUCUAAAAGAACUUUGAAUCAGAUCUGAGAAUGAAGUUUUUUCCAAGGAAAUUUAUAUUGAACUAUAAAACACAUACAGAAAAGUAUAUGUGUGUACAUGCACACAGAUAUAUCAUAAGUGCACGGCUCAGUGAAUUUCCCCAGACUAAACAUGCUCACAUAACCUGCACCCAGAUCAAGAUACAGAACUCUCCCAGCCCCUCAGAAAGCUACCUAGUAACCCUCCUAGUCACUACCCUUUGCCAAGGGUGACCACUAUCCUGCUAACACCCUGGAUUGCUUUUGCCUGUUUUUGAACUUCACAUAAAUGGAAUCAUGCCGUGCAUGCUUUUUGGUGUCUGUCUUCGUUUGUUCGACAUCAUGACCAUGAGACUGGGUCUCGUUGUGCUUCACUGGUUGAGACUGACAUUCUAAUUGGAGGAGAUUUGGGUUUUAAGACCUGAAAUAGACAGCUUUGGUAACCAAAGAGUCAGUCAGGCAUGCUAUGGAAUUGUUGAGAGGCUGGUUGAGGAAGCCCAUUCUUUAAUAGCUCCGU
rnacentral:lncRNA from 10 species